ensembl:snRNA U4 U4 spliceosomal RNA
AGCUUUGUGCAGUGGCAAUAUCAUAGCCAAUGAGGUUUAUCCGAGGCAUGAUUAUUGCUAAUUAAAUGUGUACUUCAUAAUGCCAAGCACGGUGCUGAGUCUCUUACAGGCAUUAUUCUCUCAUUAAAUGC